GUACGUACAAGCAGUGGGAGCACAGGUUUACCUGUGUGACUGCGUACCUUUUGUAUAAUGGGUCAGCGACUUAUAUUCUGUAGCAAGGUUAACCGUAUAGGGGAGCCGCAGGGAAACCGAGUCUUAACCGGGCGUUAAGUUGCAGGGUAUAGACCCGAAACCCGGUGAUCUAGCCAUGGGCAGGUUGAAGGUUGGGUAACACUAACUGGAGGACCGAACCGACUAAUGUUGAAAAAUUAGCGGAUGACCUGUGGCU
rnacentral:rRNA from 3 species